AAAACGGUCUGUCAUUAAAAAAGUUUUUGUUCCGUAUCAUAAUUUAUCGUUUCGUAAGUGGGAUUUACCAUUACCUUGCAUGUUUUCCGUAGGUAUAUGCGGACGCACGCUCGAAUGCUUCGAAAAAGCUAAAUUGUUAGAUACAACGAAAAUCACUAAAAUUGUUUUUUGUCCUAUGUUUCUAAAAAGAAACACGCAUUUUCUAUCAAUUUCGCAACACCGGAAUCACUGCGAAACUGUGUCUAAGUAACGUUUGAAAUAUUACAACAUAUCGACGUGAUUAUUAAAAAAACAAUUGAAAAUAAAUAUUUCGAACAGGAAACUAUUAUCAAUAUCUCUUAUUUUUACAAGUGUCGAUACGCGUGAGAUAAGACAAUCGCAAUAAGACUAUCGUAGAAACAUUCCACAUAAUAAAAAAAAAAAAUAAGAGAAGAAAAUUGUAAUUUAAACAUAUAUUAAAAAUCCUUCACAUGAUAAGAUAUUGUCAUGAUGUUGAGCUUACAAUGAUAUUUUGACAGCCGAUGAGAAGAGCCACGAAUGAUUUUGAAGUCACUAUCGUUUUCGAAGGAAGAAACAAAAGAUCGAAUCACUCCGAGAUGAUCUAUUUAUCUUCGAGAUAACGAUACCGAUCGUUCGUUCUAAAUGAAAUUCCUUCUCUCUCUCUCUCUCCUUCUCUUUUUCUGACUUUUUUAAAAAAAAUACUCGCGUUACUCAAAAAUAAUACCGAAAGAAAUAUUAAAAUGUAGUAGAAUGAAGUAGUUAGAAUAAAGAUAGAAUAAAGAAAAGAAAAUACCAUGACUGCACUAAGCCACCGUGUCGAGUAUUACGAACCUCUCUUCGCGGAGGUUCGGGUGACACUGUUGGCGAAAUUAUUAGGAAGUGGUGACAACUCGGGUAACGUACUCAGGUCACCUUGGUGGCGUCGUUGACGAACCGCCGGGAUGAAAAUAAUGGCUGGCACAAAGACGAUUACAAUCGUAUCUUCGGCUUAUCUCGGAUAAUACUGAAAUAAAUUUUAAAUCGUGUUACACCAACGUAAUUAUUUAUUAAUUUUAAUUCAUUGAUACUCUACCUUACGAAAAAGUUCAUUGAAAUAUAAUAUAUAUUGAUAAAUAUAAAUGCACGCUGACAAGUUUACAACACAAGUUUCAAUAUAAAUUCUACACAUGAGAACAUAUUAUUCCGGAUUAUUUCGGAUUAUUUUACGUCACGUAAAAUAUCCGAUCAAAAAAUCGAAGGAUCGACGUCGUAUUAUUACACGUAUAACAAAGUCUUCCGUACAAUUAAAUAAUUCCUAAUCGUAUUAUAUACUUUGCUUCGUGAAUCGAUACAUUGUUAAAUCCAUAAAAAUUAUUUGCAUGAAAGUAUUAAUUAUUUUAUCUAUAUGCCACAAUAAAAACACUGUAAUUGAUGGCGAAACAAUGUUUGAAUUUUCCAUUCCGAACUGCUUCUAUUACGUUGGCCAACUUAAGAAAGCAGAUUGAGGGCCAAAAUUUUCGACGAUUGUUGAAAAAACGUAUAUACAUAAAAUUACUUUAAUCUUAUGCCAUUUACUAAUUUUAUUUACAAAUAACAUUUUUCCGCGCCUUUACUUGUUUAUUGAUAUAUACUAGAAAUAUAAUAUAUCAGAUGAAAUUUUUUAUACAAAUAUCUUAGGCGCGCGAAAAUUCAAACGACCGACUCGAAAUAAUACAAAUGAUAAUCAUCGAAGAAAAUAUAAUUGCAUCGUGUAAUCAAUUUUUUCAUUGUAAAAUAAAUAUUGAAUAUUUCGUAAUUGGGAACAACGGAUAUAAAAAGGUCGGAAGUGAUUGUAAAAAUAAAUGAAACUACAAUGUUUCAUUGCACGUAGAUACACAUGUAGGUACUAACUUUUAUUCAUACUCGGUAGGCUUCACAACACACUGAUUACCAAAAAAAAAAAAAAAAAAAAAAAAGAAACGCAGACGUAGCAUCACAAACAAGAGUAUCUUCUUUGUCGUCCGAGCAAAUAUCUUUAAUUUAACAUUAAAAAUCAUGUAUAUAUGUAUGUUGAAUCGGAGUGCAUAUCUUUCUAUACUAAAGUUCUAAAAUGAGUUUUGUCUUUUAACAUACCGUUACAUCGUAAAUCAACGCGUUUCUGAAUCUAUAAGACACCUAUAUCUUGUAAAUAUGCCGCCGAUGUCAAUUGUUCCAUUAUCGAGUGAUCAGCGGCCUCGGUAUUCCGGAAAACAUGGAGGAAAAACGGAAGGAAAUAUCGUUGAUAUCAUCUCUAAAAGUUAAACGUGGAAUGGAUUCCGAAGGCGUGUCGUCACACCAAUAAUUAUAUUUAUUUACAAUGACUGCCAUUAAUGAAUUACAAACCCGUUCCCAAAUCACUUUCUGCAUUAAUACACUUCUAUAUAUACAGUUAUAUAUAAAUACAUCUAUAUCUUUUUUGAGGCCAUCGAUAUUGUCAAGUUGAAAUUUUCAUUUUAAAUUAGCCAUGUUCGUUAAGAGCAAAAAAAUGCUUCCAACAAAGCAUAGUUUUUGUUUUCAUGAAAAACUAUGCUAUAAUUUUCUGUUAUAUAAUGUAUAAGUUUAUAUACGAUAAUAUAAGAAGCAUUCUCAAGGCACAAAUAUGGGCAGCAUAUAAGCUAUGCUAAUUCUAACAGAAUAAAUAGACAAUUUCUUCCACGCAUCUUUGAUUUACAUACUUUCAAAUUGUAAGGCUUAUUAGUAUACUUUCAUAAGAAUAAUGCAGAUGAUUUGUAAUCGGGUCUUACAAAAAGGAUUCAAUGUAUAUGUUUCAAUUAAUAAAGUAAAUGAGAGAGUUGCAAGAACGUAAUUUAAAGCUCUUAGUAUACAGUACGGUGCGGUAAUUGUACAUACAUGUUGCGACGAAGCAUCGUGCUUAUUUCGAUUGCUAUAAGCUCAAUACACAUAAACGCAUGUUCAAUCUUAUAAUAUUUUAUCGAUAUUGAUGGUGAAUAUAAUUCAUUCUUAAAAAUGUUCUGUUAACGUCGAGGCUUAACAGGCAAUUACAUGAAAAUGUAAGGCAAACAAGAUUGUAUCUAGUAUUGUUGGCGAAAUGUUGUUCUUGUAAUUACCGAUUAUUGUCACAAUCUCUUGUAUAACUGUCGUUAUGAAAAUCUUGUAUAUUUCAGUCUCUCUUUACGUUUUUUGUUUCGUUAUGUUGGCAAAUUUUCUUAAUUGUUGAUCUCCCGAUCGUAGUUUGCUAAUUUUGGUAGCAAAGAAUCACAGCUAGACACAUCGGCAAACGAGUGUUAUUUAACAAGCGGCAGUGAUUUCUGUUUCACGGUCGUACGAUAUUCUUAUUUUAAAUCAUGUAACGUGUUCGACUUUUCCUAAACUUAUACUCAAAAAGUACAUAGAAUAUACAUAAAAAGUAAUAGCAGUUCAUAAGCCAGAAAUGCGUCUAAAUCUAUGUCGGAAUACAAACAUCAUUAAGUGUGUGUUAUUCUUAAAUGAAACUUAAUAUUAAUUAUGUACAUUUUGAUUAAAACGAUAUAAAAGAAAA